rnacentral:rRNA from 1 species
CAGUCGCCGCGGGAAUACGAAGGGUGCAAGCGUUAAUCGGAAUUACUGGGCGUAAAGCGUGCGUAGGCGGUGAGUUAAGUCCGCUGUGAAAUCCCCGGGCUCAACCUGGGAAUGGCAGUGGAUACUGGCUCGCUAGAGUGUGUCAGAGGAUGGUGGAAUUCCCGGUGUAGCAGUGAAAUGCGUAGAUAUGCGGAGGAACACCGAUGGCGAAGGCAGCCCCCUGGGCCAACACUGACGCUCAUGCACGAAAGCGUGGGGAGCAAACAGGAUUAGAUACCCCUGUAGUCCCUGUCUCUUAUAC